GAUGAACGCUGGCGGCGUGCCUAAUACAUGCAAGUCGGGCGAACGGACGAGAAGCUUGCUUCUCUGAUGUUAGCGGCGGACGGGUGAGUAACACGUGGAUAACCUACCUAUAAGACUGGGAUAACUUCGGGAAACCGGAGCUAAUACCGGAUAAUAUUUUGAACCGCAUGGUUCAAAAGUAAAAGAGGGUCUUGCUGUCACUUAUAGAUGGAUCCGCGCUGCAUUAGCUAGUUGGUAAGGUAACGGCUUACCAAGGCAACGAUGCAUAGCCGACCUGAGAGGGUGAUCGGCCACACUGGAACUGAGACACGGUCCAGACUCCUACGGGAGGCAGCAGUAGGGAAUCUUCCGCAAUGGGCGAAAGCCUGACGGAGCAACGCCGCGUGAGUGAUGAAGGUCUUCGGAUCGUAAAACUCUGUUAUUAGGGAAGAACAUAUGUGUAAGUAACUGUGCACAUCUUGACGGUACCUAAUCAGAAAGCCACGGCUAACUACGUG
rnacentral:rRNA from 1 species